rnacentral:tRNA from 1 species
GCUUCCGUGGCGCAAUUGGUUAGCGCGUCCGACUGUUAAUCGGGAGGUUGGCAGUUCAAUCCUGCCCGGGAGCG